UACGAGUGGUGCAAGCGUUAUUCGGAAUAAUUGGGCGUACAGGGUGUGUAGGCGGUAUGUUAAGUCUGUUGUUAAAGACUCCGGCCUAACUGGAGAAAGGCAACAGAAACUGGCGUACUAGAGGGUGGAAGAGAGAAGUGGAAUUCUCGGUGUAGCGGUAAAAUGCGUAGAUAUCGAGAGGAACACCAAUGGCGAAGGCAGCUUCUUGGUCCACAUCUGACGCUGAGACACGAAAGCGUGGGGAGCAAACAGGAUUAGAUACCCUGGUAGUCCACGCUGUAAACGAUGAUCACUAGACGUUGGUUCUGUUUUACAGAAUCAGUGUCGCAGCUAACGCGAUAAGUGAUCCGCCUGGGGACUACGGUCGCAAGAUUAAA
rnacentral:rRNA from 1 species